CACAGAAGGAGAGAAGGAAGAACACGUGUAGAGACUGUUUUCAGGGGUUGAUUUUACAGCAGCAUUGUGAUGAGUCAACACUGCGUGCUCAGUGUCUUUGGAUCAGCUCCCACGCAUAACACAGUGUAGGUAAAGGGCAACUCUGCCGCUUCCAGUUCCUUUUGAUAGAUGUUGUUUCAACCCAGCUAUUAAAUAUAUUUGAGUGCCUCAGCCAUAGACAUACCCUAACACCACAGAGCUACUGUGCACCUGACUGGUCUUUGCAGGUUUGGCCCUUGGUAGAAGUGGGCAGUAGUACUUCCCCAGCAUGCAGAUACUUUCAGUACCUAAAGGGAGCCUAUAAACAGGACGGGAGUAAACUCUUUGAAAGGGUAGAUAACAGCAGGACAAUGGGAAAUGGUUUUAAGUUGAAGGAGGGAAGAUUUAGGUUGGAUGUCAGGGUGAAAUUCUUUACUAUGAGAGUGGUGAGGUGCUGGAACAGGCUGCCCAGAGAGGUUGUGGAUGUCCUGUCCCUGGAGGUGUUCAAGGUCAGGUUGGAUGGGGCUGUGGGCAGCCUGGUCUAGCAUUAAAUGGGGAGGUUGGUGGCCCUGCCUGCGGCGAGGGGGUUGGAGAUUCGUGAUGCUUGAGGUCCCUUCCAACCCAGGCCAUUCUGUAAUUCAGUGAAAAGGGCCAUGACAAUACAUGUCUGGCUGUGAAGUGCUUGAAUGCCACAGCAAUGUUAUUUUUCUAGCUGAACAGAAAAACUUUUGAUGCAAGGAGAAAAAUCAAUAUUUCAGGAAGAGGUUUCGAAGGCUUAAGUGGGAUAUCGAAGGAAUUUGUGCUGGGAGUGAUAGCCAUCUCCUGAUAUCCUCUAUAAGAACCUUUUGCCCUCAUCUGCCACAGCUGCUCAGAUGAAUCAAGCAGUAUGGCACCAUUGUGGUGGGAUUAUUAAAGCAAAUAAGCUUUUCUUGAAUCCCCCUUCCUCCGAUUAGUGUUUGAGAAAAGGGGAUGCAGCUGGGUGCCCAAGCAACCAGCUGGAGAAAGUUGUGCUGGUGAAAAGGCAGAGACUGAGCUGUAGCCAGGUGGAUUUGGUUGUAAGAUUACAUGAAGGAACUGCAGUGAAAGGUUUAGUCGUUGCCUUAGGAAAGAUAAGGAAAAUUCAGGCUGGUGCACAUCACCUGGGGAACAUUCUACCAUCUUAUUGUGGAAGGCUUUGCUCUGAGGCAACAUCCCUUCAGCAGCUCAGCGUGGCCAGAAGAUGCUGGGAAUGCAGAAAAGCAGCUUUUAAUCUUCCUUGGCUGCUUGCUAGUAAAUUUGUGUUCAUCCUUCCCUUGGAAGUGUUACCACAGUCUGAGCUGCUUUGUGAGGUGCCAAGUACAAAGAAUGGAACAUGUAUAACAUUUUUCAUUAGUAAGUCAAUUUAUUGCCAUACCCUGUCUCCGAAUGAAGAGAAUUAUUAUGUGAAGGUCAUUGUUGUGGUAUAUUUCUGUGUUUUCUGUAUACAAACUCCUGUUAACAGUUGACUCAAAGUAAGUAGAGAAAAAAAAUGUAGUACAUCUGUUGUGAUUGAUUAUUUUCCUUUUUAAAUUACUUCUCUCUGUCAUUUUCAUUUUAUAUACUUGGUGUAGGAUGAGC
ensembl:lncRNA